rnacentral:rRNA from 1 species
GACGAACGCUGGCGGCGUGCCUAACACAUGCAAGUCAACUUGACUGAAGGAGCAAUCUGACAGUAGAGUGGCGCAAGGGUGCGUAACGCGUAAGUAACUUGCCCAAGGUAAGGAAUAACGUCGAGAAAUCGGCGCUAAUACCUCAUAAUGCAGCGGAUCCGCAUGGAUAUGUUGUUAAAGGUUUACCGCCUUGGGAUAGGCUUGCGUCUGAUUAGUUAGUUGGUGUGGUAACGGCACACCAAGGCUACGAUCAGUAACUGGUCUGAGAGGAUGAUCAGUCACACUGGAACUGAGACACGGUCCAGACUCCUACGGGAGGCAGCAGUGAGGAAUAUUGGGCAAUGCUCGAAAGAGUGACCCAGCAACGCCGCGUGGAGGAUGAAGGUAUUCUAUAUCGUAAACUCCUGUGAGAGCAGACGAAGACAGAUUAUUAAUCUGGAUGACUGUAUGCUCAGAGGAAGCCCC